UGGGGAAUAUUGCACAAUGGGCGCAAGCCUGAUGCAGCCAUGCCGCGUGUGUGAAGAAGGCCUUCGGGUUGUAAAGCACUUUCAGCGAGGAGGAAGGUGGUGGACUUAAUACGUUCAUCAAUUGACGUUACUCGCAGAAGAAGCACCGGCUAACUCCGUGCCAGCAGCCGCGGUAAUACGGAGGGUGCAAGCGUUAAUCGGAAUUACUGGGCGUAAAGCGCACGCAGGCGGUUUGUUAAGUCAGAUGUGAAAUCCCCGGGCUCAACCUGGGAACUGCAUUUGAAACUGGCAAGCUAGAGUCUCGUAGAGGGGGUAGAAUUCCAGGUGUAGCGGUGAAAUGCGUAGAGAUCUGGAGGAAUACCGGUGGCGAAGGCGGCCCCCUGGACGAA
rnacentral:rRNA from 1 species